rnacentral:rRNA from 1 species
GACGAACGCCGGCGGCGUGCCUAAUACAUGCAAGUCGAACGCUGCCCCUGUUCCCCUUCGGGGGAAGAGGUGGCAGAGUGGCGGACGGGUGAGUAACACGUGGGGAACCUACCCAGCAGCGGGGGAUAACACUUGGAAACAGGUGCUAAUACCGCAUAGGCCUUUUUUUCGCCUGGAAGAAAGGGAAAAGGCGCUUUAAGCGUCACUGCUGGAGGGGCCCGCGGUGCAUUAGCCAGUUGGUGAGGUAACGGCUCACCAAAGCAACGAUGCAUAGCCGACCUGAGAGGGUGAUCGGCCACACUGGGACUGAGACACGGCCCAGACUCCUACGGGAGGCAGCAGUAGGGAAUCUUCGGCAAUGGACGCAAGUCUGACCGAGCAACGCCGCGUGAGUGAAGAAGGUUUUCGGAUCGUAAAGCUCUGUUGUCAGCCAAGAACAGGAAGAAGAGGGAAUGCUUUUUCUAUGACGGUAGCUGACCAGAAAGCCACGGCUAACUACGUGCCAGCAGCCGCGGUAAUACGUAGGUGGCAAGCGUUGUCCGGAUUUAUUGGGCGUAAAGGGAGCGCAGGCGGUUCGUUAAGUCUGAUGUGAAAGCCCUCGGCUCAACCGAGGAGGGGCAUUGGAAACUGGCGAACUUGAGUACAGAAGAGGAGAGUGGAAUUCCAUGUGUAGCGGUGAAAUGCGUAGAUAUAUGGAGGAACACCGGUGGCGAAGGCGACUCUCUGGUCUGUGACUGACGCUGAGGCUCGAAAGCGUGGGUAGCAAACAGGAUUAGAUACCCUGGUAGUCCACGCCGUAAACGCUGAGUGCUAAGUGUUGGAGGGUUUCCGCCCUUCAGUGCUGCAGUUAACGCAUUAAGCACUCCGCCUGGGGAGUACGACCGCAAGGUUGAAACUCAAAGGAAUUGACGGGGGCCCGCACAAGCGGUGGAGCAUGUGGUUUAAUUCGAAGCAACGCGAAGAACCUUACCAGGUCUUGACAUCCUUUGACCGCCCU